rnacentral:rRNA from 1 species
GAGGCGAACCGGGGGAACUGAAACAUCUAAGUACCCCGAGGAAAAGAAAUCAACCGAGAUUCCCCCAGUAGCGGCGAGCGAACGGGGAGGAGCCCAGAGCCUGAAUCAGUGUGUGUGUUAGUGGAAGCGUCUGGAAAGGCGUGCGAUACAGGGUGACAGCCCCGUACACAAAAAUGCACAUGCUGUGAGCUCGAUGAGUAGGGCGGGACACGUGGUAUCCUGUCUGAAUAUGGGGGGACCAUCCUCCAAGGCUAAAUACUCCUGACUGACCGAUAGUGAACCAGUACCGUGAGGGAAAGGCGAAAAGAACCCCGGCGAGGGGAGUGAAAAAGAACCUGAAACCGUGUACGUACAAGCAGUGGGAGCACAGAGCAAUCUGUGUGACUGCGUACCUUUUGUAUAAUGGGUCAGCGACUUAUAUUCUGUAGCAAGGUUAACCGAAUAGGGGAGCCGAAGGGAAACCGAGUCUUAACUGGGCGUUAAGUUGCAGGGUAUAGACCCGAAACCCGGUGAUCUAGCCAUGGGCAGGUUGAAGGUUGGGUAACACUAACUGGAGGACCGAACCGACUAAUGUUGAAAAAUUAGCGGAUGACUUGUGGCUGGGGGUGAAAGGCCAAUCAAACCGGGAGAUAGCUGGUUCUCCCCGAAAGCUAUUUAGGUAGCGCCUCGUGAAUUCAUCUCCGGGGGUAGAGCACUGUUUCGGCAAGGGGGUCAUCCCGACUUACCAACCCGAUGCAAACUGCGAAUACCGGAGAAUGUUAUCACGGGAGACACACGGCGGGUGCUAACGUCCGUCGUGAAGAGGGAAACAACCCAGACCGCCAGCUAAGGUCCCAAAGUCAUGGUUAAGUGGGAAACGAUGUGGGAAGGCCCAGACAGCCAGGAUGUUGGCUUAGAAGCAGCCAUCAUUUAAAGAAAGCGUAAUAGCUCACUGGUCGAGUCGGCCUGCGCGGAAGAUGUAACGGGGCUAAACCAUGCACCGAAGCUGCGGCAGCGACACUAUGUGUUGUUGGGUAGGGGAGCGUUCUGUAAGCCUGUGAAGGUGUGCUGUGAGG